rnacentral:rRNA from 1 species
GACGAACGCUGGCGGCGUGCCUAAUACAUGCAAGUCGAGCGAACCACUUCGGUGGUUAGCGGCGGACGGGUGAGUAACACGUGGGCAACCUGCCUGUGAGACUGGGAUAACUUCGGGAAACCGGAGCUAAUACCGGAUAAUCCUUUUCCUCUCAUGAGGAAAAGCUGAAAGACGGUUUCGGCUGUCACUUACAGAUGGGCCCGCGGCGCAUUAGCUAGUUGGUGAGGUAACGGCUCACCAAGGCGACGAUGCGUAGCCGACCUGAGAGGGUGAUCGGCCACACUGGGACUGAGACACGGCCCAGACUCCUACGGGAGGCAGCAGUAGGGAAUCUUCCACAAUGGACGAAAGUCUGAUGGAGCAACGCCGCGUGAGCGAUGAAGGCCUUCGGGUCGUAAAGCUCUGUUGUUAGGGAAGAAUAAGUACCGGAGUAACUGCCGGUACCUUGACGGUACCUAACCAGAAAGCCACGGCUAACUACGUGCCAGCAGCCGCCGUAAAAC